rnacentral:rRNA from 1 species
GUGGGGAAUAUUGGACAAUGGGCGAAAGCCUGAUCCAGCCAUGCCGCGUGUGUGAAGAAGGUCUUCGGAUUGUAAAGCACUUUAAGUUGGGAGGAAGGGCAGUAAGUUAAUACCUUGCUGUUUUGACGUUACCGACAGAAUAAGCACCGGCUAACUUCGUGCCAGCAGCCGCGAUAAUACGAAGGGUGCAAGCGUUAAUCGGAAUUACUGGGCGUAAAGCGCGCGUAGGUGGUUUUGUAAGUUGGAGGUGAAAUCCCCGGGCUCAACCUGGGAACUGCCUCCAAAACUGCAUGACUAGAGUACGGUAGAGGGUAGUGGAAUUUCCUGUGUAGCGGUGAAAUGCGUAGAUAUAGGAAGGAACACCAGUGGCGAAGGCGACUACCUGGACUGAUACUGACACUGAGGUGCGAAAGCGUGGGGAGCAAACAGGAUUAGAUACCCUUGUAGUCC